GACGAACGCUGGCGGCGUGCUUAGCACAUGCAAGUCGAACGGUGAAAGGGAGCUUGCUCCCUGGAUCAGUGGCGAACGGGUGAGUAACACGUGGGCAACCUGCCCCUGACUCUGGGAUAACGCUUCGAAAGAGGUGCUAAUACCGGAUACGAACUCUCUGGGCAUCUUGAGAGUUGGAAAGUUUUUCGGUCAGGGAUGGGCCCGCGGCCUAUCAGCUUGUUGGUGAGGUAACGGCUCACCAAGGCGACGACGGGUAGCCGGCCUGAGAGGGCGACCGGACAGACUGGGACUGAGACACGGCCCAGACUCCUACGGGAGGCAGCAGUGGGGAAUAUUGCGCAAUGGGCGCAAGCCUGAUGCAGCCAUGCCGCGUGUGUGAAGAAGGCCUUCGGGUUGUAAAGCACUUUCAGCGGGGAGGAAGGGAGCAGGCUUAAUACGUCUGUUCAUUGACGUUACCCGCAGAAGAAGCACCGGCUAACUCCGUGCCAG
rnacentral:rRNA from 1 species